rnacentral:sRNA from 1 species
GAGACGCAAACAAGAAGAAUUAGCUGUGAAAGAUGUUUCGCCAGAAUCCGAAUCAUGUCCUAUAUUGCCCGAAAAUGAAAGAGAUACUUCAAACCAAGAGAGUGUCGACACCGAGUCAAGUGCUUCGUUAUUAGUUCAUACAGGUCUACAACUGGUCCAAGAGAGUCAAGUACACUGUGUUGAUCCUUCUAAGGAAAACUGCUUCCAACCCAUUGUGACAGAACCUCAGUCUGGAGGACAAGACAAACCUACAGCUCAUGAUAAAGCCUCUGGGUUACGAGGUUUUGUAAAGAACUAUCAGAUAUGCAGAGUUAGCUAGACUUGUGAGCCUUUUUGCUAAAGAACUAAAGAGGAAAAGUACCUAACAAUGGAUAGUUAUAUUUUGAAAGGAGUUUUUGUUUA